GAGAUGAGUUCUCCCUGAGACUUUAAGUCUCCUGAAGGAACGUUGAAGACGACGACGUUGAUAGGCCGGGUGUGUAAGCGCAGCGAUGCGUUGAGCUAACCGGUACUAAUGAACCGUGAGGCUUAACCUUACAACGCCGAAG
rnacentral:rRNA from 7 species